GGGGGCAGGGAUUGAGUCAAACCUUGGAAAUGACAUCAUUCUGAACUCAUCUGCCUUCACCCAGAAGAAUACCAAAGUGAACCAGAGGACUGGAGAACAGCAGCUGCUCUGGACAAAGAGGGGAGAACCCCACCUACCCACCCGUUGUAAGUUCUGCUUGACUUCUACAGCAGAAGGAGCAAGAGACGCCAGAAGCUGCAGCAGGUGUGGAUGGCCACGACUCAGCUACCGUGAGACAGAAUGAAUGACGACUGAAGGUGAUGAAGACAUUCAAGACAAGAGACCACAGACAGGCUGGGAGCUGUACACCACAGAUGCCAAAAGUAGUGGCCAAGUCCUUAGUGUUCUGAAGCUGGCUAAGAAAUGCACAGAAAACCAAUGCACACAAUCACAGUUUCCAGGAAGUCAUACCCAGAACAAGGAGACAAAAAACAUGGAGAAGAAACUCACAAAGAAGCAGAGAUGGCCUGCUUGACAAGGAAUCUGCUAAGGCUACCCCACAUGGAAAACUCAAGAGAGUCUUCACAUAAACUGUUCAAAAACAAAGUCUGCAAAAUACAUACAAUAGAAGACUGCAAACCAGAGAAAGAGAGAGAGAGAAAGAGACCUGUUUUAGUUAAAAAUUGCCAUGUAUUAGUUAAAAAAAAUUUUUUUUUAUUUAUUGUGUGUAUAUGAGUACACUGUA